CCUACGGGAGGCAGCAGUGAGGAAUAUUGGUCAAUGGACGAGAGUCUGAACCAGCCAAGUAGCGUGAAGGAUGACUGCCCUAUGGGUUGUAAACUUCUUUUAUAUGGGAAUAAAAUGUUCCACGUGUGGGAUUUUGUAUGUACCAUAUGAAUAAGGAUCGGCUAACUCCGUGCCAGCAGCCGCGGUAAUACGGAGGAUCCGAGCGUUAUCCGGAUUUAUUGGGUUUAAAGGGAGCGUAGGUGGUUUGUUAAGUCAGUUGUGAAAGUUUGCGGCUCAACCGUAAAAUUGCAGUUGAAACUGGCAGUCUUGAGUACAGUAGAGGUGGGCGGAAUGCGUGGUGUAGCGGUGAAAUGCUUAGAGAUCACGAAGAACUCCGAUUGCGAAGGCAGUUCACUGGACUGCAACUGACACUGAGGCUCGAAAGUGUGGGUAUCAAACAGGAUUAGAUACCCUUGUAGUC
rnacentral:rRNA from 1 species